rnacentral:rRNA from 1 species
AUGAAGCUAGCAGCUGCCUUCACCUCGAUGGAGAGGAAGGCCAAGCCGGCGAGUGGCGGAGAGAGGACCAGGGCAAGCCGCGGCACGGCGGUACUGGUGGAGAAGAAGAGGUCGGAGAGGGAGAGGAGGCAGCGCAUGAAGGCGCUCUGCGAGAAGCUCGCGUCCCUCAUCCCAAAAGAACACUUCCCCCACGCUACUGGAGAUGUGGCGGCAUCAUACAUUAAGAAGCUCAAGGAACGGGUCGAUGAGCUACCACACAAGAAAACCUCUGCACAAGCCAUGACUACCUUACUGGGAGUAAGUGGCAUCUCGACGCCCACUAUCACCGCUACCAUGAGCAGGGGUGCAGGGUCACCAAAAGGAGGGGAAAAUUUGGAGUCAUCGCCACUGGUAGCGGAAGUGCGGCAAUCUGACAUUGCAAGCAUGGAGGUGAGGCUGAUAUGCAGCACGGAGAGGCCUAUCAAGCUCCAUGAGGUGAUCACCAUCCUUGAGGAAGAAGGGGCCAUCAUCAUCAACGCUAAUCACUCUGUUGCCGCCCACAGAAUAUUCUGCACUAUACACUUCCGGGGACGUACAUACGUUGCAAAAACGUAA